rnacentral:lncRNA from 1 species
AGUGAGCUAUGAUCAUGCCACUGCACCACCACAUGAGUGACAGAGCAAGGUCCUGUCUCUAAAAAAAUUUUUUAAAUAAAAGAACAAAGGCAAGCAGCCCCCUAGGUGCUGAGUUGCUCUAUUCUUACCUAGGGAGAAGGCUACCAUUUCCUGAGCCCUAGUCUUUGCCAGCCACAGUGCAGAUUUCCCUGCAUUGUAAUUUACAUUGUCAUUGAUGCCUCAUCUCCUUAUCAGGGCUGCAUUAUCCUACCACUUCUCUGAUGCAGAUCCCAGAAUAUCAAGCCAGGUAGAGAAACCACAUCCUUCUGUUGUCCUUUCAAGCCAGAGGCACAAGCCUGGAGGAGUGAGAAUCAAGGCUGAGAACUCAAAGCUGUUUGGAGGAAGAAGCCAAGUUCAAGGAGGAGUGAGGAAAUGGUUAAUCCAUGAGAAGAGCUUGGAACAGCUCCCGGCAGUGUCAGCGCUCCCAAAGUGUGUGCGGGUAUGAUUACCAUCGCCAGCGGCUGAGCUGGGCAAGGGAUCUGACUAGUUAAUUUUGGCAAUAACUCGACAAACUAUCCAAUGUGGACAGGGAAACACAUGCCAGGGUUUUUAAAAAGCUCCCGCUGUGACACCCUCUGUGUCCUCCCUGGGCGCGGCGGCCUCCCGGCCAGGGACACCCGACCCCGCGUGGUCAGGGCUACCCACAGACGUCCCAAGGCGUGGGGGCGACUUGGCGGCGGAGUGCAGGCCGGGCUGCGGCCCAGCAGGACCUGCGUGAAGACUGCGGCCCGGGGGGUGGGGGUGUGGGGGUGGGCCGGGGUUGGGCUCUGCGGGAGCUGAGCCGCCCCGCCCCCACCUGUGACCUGGAUUCCGCGGUGCCUGCGCGGGGGCGGAGGGUGUCAAGGACAUGUCUAUGGACCGGGGAAACUUCAACUCCCGGAAUCGGUGCACCAAAGAUAUGCUAAGGUGAGGGGUCGGGGCUGUGUAAUCAUUUACCCGGUUCGUCGGCGUACACCGGCCUCUCUCGCUUAUACCAACGCAUGUUUUACCCGGUUCGCACCCAAGUCAGAGGCGGUUUGUUUAUUAAUCCCACAGAGGCUUCUGCCUGCCUUCUAGGAGACUGAUCUGGGCCAUUUUGAAGGGGAAACUUCAAAACAUUAACAUUUCAAAUAAAUGCCCCGGGAGUUGGGAGCGGGGUGCCUCCGAUUGCUCCCCCCAGGACCCCCCUUUGCACUGGGGUCACCCAGGGCAUUUACAAGACAGAAGUCGCCGCCUGGGCCGCCUUCAUUGAGCAGGUGACCUUCCCGGCCGGGUCGGUGGCCCCGCUGCUCUGCCGGGCUGUUCUGGUUCCGGGAGCUGGCGCAGGGCGCUGAGCCACCGCUGGCCCGAGAUCGCCCCGGCUCCGCCGCCAGCCGCUGUCCGCGCAGUGCUGGGGCCGCCGGGGACCCGGAGCCGUAGCGGAUUAGGCCGCCGGCCCCCACCUGGGCUUUGAUCUUAUCUGAGUUUAGCAGCGACCGCAGCCGUGGCAGCCCUAACGACGUGGACACCCGCACCUCCGAGCUUCCCCCCUGCGGAGUACCUAUGAGGCCAGGCUUGCGCAGCCCCGGGAAAAGGGGUGAGCGCAAACCCGCGGUAGGGGGGCAAAGCCCGAGGCCUGCAAGGUUCCUGCCAUCCUCGCUGCGCCCUUUCUCCCGCGCUCGCGCCCUCCGUCCUGCUGAAGCUGAUCGACACAGCAAACCCGACAGCCACCAACCUGUGUCCCCUUCUUUCCCUCCUCGCCUCCUCGGCGACCCUUGAAAGCACUCAAGUACGAAGUUACAAUUGCAGUUAUAAUUAACUGCGUCCGACUUCGGCUUCCCCAAGUCUUGGCCUCCCCAAAUCUUGGCUUCCGUUAGGACACUGUCCCGGGGUCUCCCUGUCUCGGGCAGCCCCAGUUCCCAAGAAAUAGUUAUGAAUGGAUGUUUGCAUCCGGUACCCAACCUCAGGCUGUGUACUCCUUUCUCCAAGCACACAGAUUCUUCUGGAAGGCCCAGGGAUGGUGGAAAGGGAACUAGGUGUGAACAAUUAUACCAGCCCCCUCCCCCUCCCCUUCCCAGAAAAGGGAUUUAGGAGGCACAAGUAAGGUUGCCACACGCCUGCAGGCUGAUUGAUAAGCAGAGGGUCCCAGGCAACCUGGAUCUUGUCUCGUGCCAGAAGCCGCAGUGGGUGUCCUGAUGCAGAGCCUGCGUGGCAGUGUUGUUACAGUGGGUAGCCGCAGACAUGAGAAGGGCAGGAGAGCCCCUCCCAACCACAGGAAAAUCAGGAGACCAUCAGGUGAUGGUCGGGCAGUUGUUAAGCUGUCUCUCUAAAAUGACAAUUGGUUACACCCAGCGCCAGAGAAAGGCAGUCUCCCAACAGACAGAAAAACCCAAAACUGGUGAUCAGCUUCCGAAUUAGAUCUCAGGAGCUGAGCGAGUAGGCUCAAGCAUGUGAACUAAGGCAAAAUGGCAGAGUUUAACUGGUAUAUGAGCUCUGGGAAUAUCCAACUGGUAAGAGCAAAACAUCUCGUGAGCAUGCGCACCACUUCAGUAAACGCUGUGCCAGAGGCCCCUCCCAAGUGCUGGCAGCCACCCCAAGGGAAGAAUCAGGGGAGAAGGGACACAACUAACCCCAAGGGAAGAUCAAGGGAGAAGGGACGCAACUACCCCACACCCACCAAGGAUCGGAACUUGUAAGAUUCUAAGUCAAAGGUCAAACUGUGCAGUUGAAUCUCUCGAGUCACCCAGCCACUUGGCCCUCUUCCAAGUGUACUUUUACAUUUUUUCCUGCUCUAAAACUUUGUAUUUUAUUAUUUUAUUUUUAUUUUGUUUUGUUGAGACAGAGUUUCACUCUUGUUGCCCAGGAUAGAGUGCAAUGGCACGAUCUUGGCUCACUGCAACCUCGCCUCCUGGGUUAAAGUGAUUCUCCUGCCUCAGCCUCCAGAGUAGCUGGGAUUACAGGCAUGCACCACCAUGCCUGGCUAAUUUUUUGUAUUUUAGUAGAGACAGGAUUUCUCCAUGUUGGUCAGGCUGCUCUUGAACUGCUGACCUCAGGUGAUCCGCCCGCCUCGGCCUCCCAAAGUUCUGGGAUUACAGGCGUGAGCUGCUGUGACUGGCCUAUAUUAUUAUUAUUAUUUUGAGACAGAGUCUUUCUCUUUUGCCCAAGCUGGAGUGCAGUGGUGCAAUUCAGCUCAUUAUAACCUACACCUCCCAGGUUCAAGAGAUUUCCAUGCCUCGGCCCUCCCAAGAAGUUGGGAUUGCAGGUGUGUACCACCAUGCCCAACUAAUUUUUGUAUUUUUUAGUAGAGACAGGAUUUCACUAUGUUGGCCAGGCUGGUCUUGAACUCCUGACCUCAGGUGAUCCACCUGCCUCGACCUCCCAAAGUGCUGGGAUUAUAGGUGUGAGCCACCUCGGCCGACCAUGUAUUUUUACUUUCAUUCCUGCUCUAAAAGUUUUUAAUAAAACUUUCACUUCUGCUCUAAAACUUGCCCCUCUCUCUCCUCCUGUCUUAGACCCCUUGGUGGUGUUCUUUCUUCUGAGGAGGGAAGAACUGAGGUCGCUGCAGCCCCUUAUGGAUUUGCCACCAGUUUACAGCCUUUGGUGCCCACAUUCCCUGGGGCUAACAGUCUCAACCUUUGAGAAACAGGUAUGUUUUGUUAAGUCUCCGUGUCCUGAAGGAUGCACAUGUCCUUCUGAUUUUGUGUGCACCCUGUUUCAGGCUCCCCUAUGAAGUUUGCCCAAGCCCAGGUUUAGGAAUCUUGUUCACCUUCCCGAUACCCACUUCCCUGCUUAUGCCUCUUGCUGGCCUACUUGCUGUUCCCGCAGCAGUCAGCUUGGGCUGUCCAGCUUAUUUCUUACCAGCAGCGAGCUUGACUAUGGGAGUACCCACUUCCUCUACACCCACCCCCACCCAAAUUCUUUUUUUUUAAUUUUUUUUUAAUAAAGAUGGGUUUCACCAUGUUGGUCAGGCUGGUUUUGAAUUUCCAACCUCAGGUGAUCCACCUGCCUUGGCCUCCAAAAUGCUUGGAUUACAGGCAUGAGCCCACUAGGCCUGGCCCACCUAAAUUCUUUCCUUUCAUGCCUUCUCUGCGGGAAGCCAGGGUCCUCACCCCCCAGCCUCACCAAUAGCUUGGUGAGCCUUCUGAUGUGGCGCCCACUGCUUAGGGUAUCAGUCCCUGGUGGCUGACAGGCUCCUGAGGCAGGACCUUGACUUCACUUUUCUGUCCUUUUCCCUGCCCCAUAGGCAGAGGAUUCUCAGAAUUCUAGCUUAUCUUGCUGACUGGGCAGUGCUCCAGGACACCUGUGAUGACUUCACUGCCAAGUAAUCCCUAAAUGUUCUUUCGACUGGAUGCCACCAAGAAAUCUCCGACCUUGGAAGGCAUGCAUAAUAAAUCCUAAGACUCAAAAACCUUGCAAGAUUCUUCCACAUAAAAUGAGUGGAGAAGUACUUUGGGGCUU